ensembl:lncRNA LINC01033 long intergenic non-protein coding RNA 1033
UUUUAUUAGGAGGAAUUUCCCUGCACAAGCUCUCAUUCUCUCUUGCCUGCCGCCAUGUAAGACAUGUCUUUGCUCCUGCUUCACCUUCUGCCAUGAUCAUGAGGCAUCCCCAGCCAUGUGGAACUGGUCUCACUUCACCCAGGCUGGAAUGCAGUGGUGUGAUCACAGCUCACUAUAGUCUCGAUCUCCUGGGCCUCCCACAUCAGCCUUGUCCCAACUUGGCUGCUUUGUAAGAAGUGGACUUCUGCCUCCUCAGCCUAACCUGAAGAAUAGAACCAGCUUCUUUCGUGGCAAUUUUCCCCCAGGAGGGAUUUCCCUGCAGUGGACCUCCUCCCCAGUGGUACCUUCAGCCAUCAGAACACCUCGCUUUAGAUCUGUGGGUCCCAAAUUUCAUCAAAUCCAAUGACCAUUUCUAUGUCCUUAGUAAUUGGUGGCAACCUGGUGGAGAGGGAAGACCACAGGCUGUGGAGUUGGACCUGGGUUUGAAGAUUGGCUUUGCAUGCCUAGCAGGAUAUCACUCAUUCUGGGGGCAGCCCUCUGGCAUGUAAUGAGCAGUCCUAUGGAGAGGCCCAUGUGACAGUAGCCAUGCGAGUGACACUGGAAGUGAAACCUGCAGCUCCAGUCAAGCCUUUAGAAGACUGCAGCCCUGGCUGACAGCUUGACAGCAAACUCAUGAGAGACUCUCAGCUUGAACAACUCAGCUAAACUGUUCCUGGGUUCCUGGUCCUCAAAAACUGUACGAGAUGAAAAAAAAGUUUGUUUUUU